UGACCAUCACCGAAGGAGACUGCCUCCUC
rnacentral:sRNA from 1 species